rnacentral:rRNA from 1 species
AGUGAACGCUGGCGGUAGGCCUAACACAUGCAAGUCGAACGGCAGCACAGUAAGAGCUUGCUCUUACGGGUGGCGAGUGGCGGACGGGUGAGGAAUACAUCGGAAUCUACUUUUUCGUGGGGGAUAACGUAGGGAAACUUACGCUAAUACCGCAUACGACCUACGGGUGAAAGCAGGGGAUCUUCGGACCUUGCGCGAUUGAAUGAGCCGAUGUCGGAUUAGCUAGUUGGCGGGGUAAAGGCCCACCAAGGCGACGAUCCGUAGCUGGUCUGAGAGGAUGAUCAGCCACACUGGAACUGAGACACGGUCCAGACUCCUACGGGAGGCAGCAGUGGGUAAUAUUGGACAAUGGGCGCAAGCCUGAUCCAGCCAUACCGCGUGUGUGAAGAAGGCCUUCGGGUUGUAAAGCCCUUUUGUUGGGAAAGAAAAACAGCAUGUUAAUACCCCGCUGUUCUGACGGUACCCAAAGAAUAAGCACCGGCUAACUUCGUG